rnacentral:rRNA from 1 species
CCUUGCGCUCUUGGAGCGGCCGAUGUCUGAUUAGCUAGUUGGUGAGGUAAAGGCUUACCAAGGCGACGAUCAGUAGCUGGUCUGAGAGGACGACCAGCCACACUGGGACUGAGACACGGCCCAGACUCCUACGGGAGGCAGCAGUGGGGAAUUUUGGACAAUGGGGGAAACCCUGAUCCAGCCAUGCCGCGUGAGUGAAGAAGGCCUUCGGCUGUAAAGCUCUCUCAGCCGGAACGAAACGGUCACGGCUAAUACCUGUAACUACUGACGGUACCGGAAGAAGAAGCACCGGCUAACUACGUGCCAGCAGCCGCGGUAAUACGUAGGGUGCAAGCGUUAUCGGAAUUACUGGGCGUAAAGCGUGCGCAGGCGGUUUUGUAAGUCAGAUGUGAAAUCCCCGGGCUUAACCUGGGAAC